rnacentral:lncRNA from 1 species
CUGGAUAAACUGUGUCACAGAGGAGAGAGCCGCUCGUCGGCGGCGGCGAAGAGGGACAGAGCGAUCGGAUCAUCGGACAGAAAAACAGAGAGAUGCUCGCCGGCGGAGAGAUACACAUAAAUUAAAACCGUGAGGGAUAAUAGAAAGAGAGGGGGAGGGAGACUGGAUAAACUGUGUCACAGAGGAGAGAGCCGCUCCUCGGCGGCGUAGAGGGACAGAGCGAUCGGAUCAUCGGACAGAAAAACAGAGAGAUGCUCGCCGGCGGAGAGAAGAGAGAGAUCGGAUGCGGAGACUGGUCGACGGCUUCCCCGCCGGCGACGAUUGUAUUGUAUCUCGAUCUAUGGUAACUUAGUGUGAAGCCAAUAAAAGCCAGCUGGAGAGCACUGAAGGCUUAGAAAAGUGGCAAUAAAAGUUACCUAAUUAAAAUGAGAAUUGUUUUCAAUAAUUGGGGUCAUUCCCUAUAGAUGUAUCAAAAUGAAAAUCGGGUUUUGUCCCACUUAUAAAUGUAUUACCAGAAAAACUUGGGUUUUAUCCC